rnacentral:rRNA from 1 species
CCUACGGGGGGCUGCAGUGGGGAAUAUUGCACAAUGGGCGCAAGCCUGAUGCAGCCAUGCCGCGUGUGUGAAGAAGGCCUUCGGGUUGUAAAGCACUUUCAGCGGGGAGGAAGGCGGUGAGGUUAAUAACCUCAUCGAUUGACGUUACCCGCAGAAGAAGCACCGGCUAACUCCGUGCCAGCAGCCGCGGUAAUACGGAGGGUGCAAGCGUUAAUCGGAAUUACUGGGCGUAAAGCGCACGCAGGCGGUCUGUCAAGUCGGAUGUGAAAUCCCCGGGCUCAACCUGGGAACUGCAUUCGAAACUGGCAGGCUAGAGUCUGGUAGAGGGGGGUAGAAUUCCAGGCGUAGCGGUGAAAUGCGUAGAGAUCUGGAGGAAUACCGGUGGCGAAGGCGGCCCCCUGGACAAAGACUGACGCUCAGGUGCGAAAGCGUGGGGAGCAAACAGGAUUAGAUACCCUAGUAGUC